UGGCUCAGCUGGUAAAGAAUCUGCCUGCAGUGCAGGAGACCCAGGUUCAAUUCCUGG
rnacentral:tRNA from 1 species